CACGUAGGGGCCGAGCGUUGUCCGGAUUCAUUGGGCGUAAAGCGCGCGUAGGCGGCUCGGAAAGUCGGUCGUGAAAUGCCGGGGCUCAACCCCGGGACUGCGUCCGAUACUUCCGGGCUGGAGGUAGGUAGGGGAGAUCGGAAUUCCUGGUGUAGCGGUGAAAUGCGCAGAUAUCAGGAGGAACACCGGUGGCGAAGGCGGAUCUCUGGGCCUUACCUGACGCUGAGGCGCGAAAGCUAGGGGAGCGAACAGG
rnacentral:rRNA from 1 species